UACGUAGGGUGCGAGCGUUAAUCGGAAUUAUUGGGCGUAAAGCGGGCGCAGGCGGUGAGCUGUGUCCGAUGUGAAAGCCCCGGGCUCAACCUGGGAAUGGCAGUGGAUACUGGACAGCUAGAGUGCGGUAGAGGGUAGUGGAAUUCCCGGUGUAGCAGUGAAAUGCGUAGAGAUCGGGAGGAACACCAGUGGCGAAGGCGGCUACCUGGACCAGCACUGACACUGAAGCACGAAAGCGUGGGGAGCAAACAGG
rnacentral:rRNA from 1 species